GAUGAAGAACGUAGUGAAAUGCGAUAAGUAGUGUGAAUUGCAGAAUUCAGUGAACCAUCGAAUCUUUGAACGCACAUUGCGCCCGCCAGUAUUCUGGCGGGCAUGCCUGUCCGAGCGUCAUCUCAACCCUCGAGCCCCCCCGGGGGCUCGGCGUUGGGGACCGGCCCCGCCCCAGGGCGCGCCGCCCCCCAAAUCCAGUGGCGGUCCCGCCGCAGCCUCCCCUGCGCAGUAGCUUGCACACUCGCACCGGAGAGCGGCGCGGCCACGCCGUAAAACCCCCCGACCACGGAGCCCCGGCUCCUGAACGUUGACCUCGGAUCAGGUAGGAAUACCCGCUGAACUUAAGCAUAUCAAUAAGCGGAGGA
rnacentral:misc_RNA from 1 species